UACAGAGGUCUCAAGCGUUGUUCGGAUUCAUUGGGCGUAAAGGGUGCGUAGGCGGCGCGGUAAGUCGGGUGUGAAAUCUUGGAGCUUAACUCCGAAACUGCAUUCGAUACUGCCGUGCUUGAGGACUGGAGAGGAGACUGGAAUUUACGGUGUAGCGGUGAAAUGCGUAGAUAUCGUAAGGAAGACCAGUGGCGAAGGCGGGUCUCCGGACAGUUCCUGACGCUGAGGCACGAAGGCCAGGGGAGCAAACGGG
rnacentral:rRNA from 1 species